rnacentral:rRNA from 1 species
UACGUAGGGGGCGAGCGUUGUCCGGAAUCAUUGGGCGUAAAGAGCGUGUAGGCGGCCCGGUAAGUCCGCCGUGAAAGUCCAGGGCUCAACCCUGGAAUGCCGGUGGAAACUGCCGGGCUGGAGUCCGGAAGAGGCGAGUGGAAUUCCUGGUGUAGCGGUGAAAUGCGCAGAUAUCAGGAGGAACACCAAUGGCGAAGGCAGCUCGCUGGGACGGUACUGACGCUGAGACGCGAAAGCGUGGGGAGCAAACAGG